rnacentral:lncRNA from 1 species
ACCAAAGUUUGGCGCAAAGUCACAUCUUUGUAAAGUAUAGUUACUUAGUGAUAUAUAUUGCUAUGGUUAAGUGCUGUGAAUUGUAUUAUAUAUUGAAUUUGCUUUUAUUGUAAAUUUACUUGCAGGUAUAUUGCAUUUGCCUUUGUUGUAAAUUUACUUGCUAUUAAGAAUACAUAAUGUCUAUGCAAUUUCAAGAUGAUGCAGAUGGUAUACCUCCUUCUGAGGCUGAAAGUAGGAAUGAAAGGCCCCAAAGGAUAAAGCACCCUUCAGCCAAGAUGCUAGCCCAUCUAAUAGAUGAAAAGGAGCUCCUCCAUGUGAGGUUAGGUUCGGCAUGGGAGCGAAUUGUAACAUUAAUGGACAGAAUUGAGAGCUUGGGUAUUACAAGGGUGCCAUCCAUAUUACAGACAGACCUUGAAGAGACCUUCGGUAUUUGGAGGGGUUUGGUGUCUAAGAUAGUCCAGGUCCUCGAGCGCAUUAACGCCAAGGAUUCAGAGUUAGAAAUAGUGAGUGUCUUAGCUGACACUAAUGAGAAAGAAAAUAAGGUGAGGGCAAUUCUAGAUGCCUUGGAAUUUAGUUCUCCAUCUGUUAAUCUAAGGUCUGAGCCAAAAGGAAAUCAGUCUUCCUUAUGCAGCCAUGAGACCAAUCUUUUAAAAUCACCUGCUGUGGCACUUAGUCUUAAGUCCAACCGCUCUAGCCAGGUAUCUAAGCUAAGGGAGUGUGCAUCAUCUAAACAUAGUCACUCUAGCAAGUCUUCUGCUGCUGGGAGUGCCAUCUCUUCCCUAGCUGCCUUGCACAUUAAGGAGGCUGCACGUCUAGAGCUAAAGAGCAAGGUAGCGGGGGCGGAAGCUGAUGCUAAGGCAGCUGAUCUCACCCUUCCCUUUAAAGAAGAAGAGCAACGACUGCAAAUAGAACAGGCCCGUAGACAAAGCGAACUGCAAAUAGAACAGGCCCGUAGACAAAGCGAAAUGCAAAUAGAACAGGCCCGUAGACAAAGUGAAAUGCAAAUGGAACAGGCCCAAAGGCAAGGUGAAAUAGAAAUGCUUAGAAUAAGGAUGGAUGCUACUGCCAAAAAGGUAAGGGCUGAGACUUUGGCCAAGGCCCUAAUUGAGCCACUCACAGAAGAAAAUGUAAGUCAGUUGCCGAAGCAGGACCCUUCUUCCAAGGUGCUUGUGCAUCUUAAUAGCUUAAACAGCCAGUUUUCGGAUGAGGAACAGGAAGACUUCUCUCCUUACCCAGAGCAGGGCCCCAAAGUCACUUUUGAGUUUCCUGCAGAGCAGAGCGUCAUAGCGGGGAGCUCACCCUUGCCCGAGCUACCUGUGCCUCCUGCUAAAUCCCUAGGUCAGUCAAUCAGGGCCUCAAGGCCAAGUGCUAGUUGGCCCUUACAGACAGCUGCACAGGGAGCCACCGAUUCGUCAGUGGUCGAUGUCAUCCCUCCAAGAGGCCAAAGGUUGACGCAAGGUGCACGGUGGGAGUCCACUCCACAACAGCAAACUCCUCAAUUGUUCCCUUCGACGCCAGAGUCCCAGCUUGUCUCCAUCAUCAGAAGCCCCAGAAGAGAUCUUAAGGACAAGGGUGUCGAAAAGUUUUCGGACAAGCCUGAGGAAUUUCUUCUCUGGAAGGCCACCUUCCAGAGAGCAAUCAGAGACUUAAAGUUAUUGCCUGAGGAAGAACUGACUCUUCUGGCUGCAUGGUUGGGCCCAGCCUCAUCCUCACAAGUUAAGAAGAUCUACGCAGCCCACGUAGCCGAUCCCGACAAAGCCCUGGAAAAGGCCUGGGCCAGGUUGCAGCAGAGGUAUGGGGCCAGCACAGAGAUUGAAGCAUCUCUUAUGGACAAGCUCCAAAGGUUCCCAGCUUUGAAACUCAAAGACUUCAAACUCUUGUGGGACCUCAGCGAUCUCCUUACGGAAUUAGAGUCGGCCAAGGAGAAUCCAGAACUGCCCGGUUUGAAGUGCCUCGAUCAGCACCUGUCCCAGAGGCAGAUCUUGACCAAGCUGCCCUUCACUUUGCAAGAACGCUGGGGACAGGAGGUCUUCAACUACAAGGAGGCCCACUCCCAGGCAUACCCUCCAUUUUCUCAUUUGGUCCAGUUCAUCACCAGGGCGGCCAGAGAAAGGAAUGAUCCGCAGACGGGCCUCCCCACCUUAUACCAAGGGACCCAGCCAGAGAAGGCACCUAAAGUGGAGAAAAAACCAUCCAGAGAGGCCAAAAGACCGGUUAGUGUUAAGGCUGUUGAAACUCAGCACAGGGCCAACGAAUCCAAGUCAGAGGUGAAGGAGGUGCUCUGCCCCAUUCACCAAAAGCCUCACAGUUUGGCCAACUGCCGGGAAUUUGGCAAGAAGCCUUAUAAAGAAAGACAACAGAUUGUACAGAAGCUGGGCAUAUGUUUUAGGUGCUGUGGAGCAACUCCUCACUUUGCAUCCAACUGCAAAGAGGACGUCAAAUGCGCAAGGUGUAACAGCCUUAAGCAUUGCACCGCGAUGCACAACUCUGACGCUGUCUCCCGCGCCAAAGGGGACACGUCUUCCAAAGAAGGGUCAUCUACUGAAGCCACCAACAUGCAGACCGCGUCACGGAUGCAGGAGGAUGCUCCAUCGGUCGCCUGUACUGAACUAUGCUCUGACGUGCACCAGUUCAGAGUCUGCCAUCCCAUCUGCCUAGCAGAUGUAUAUCCAGCCAGAAGACCUUGGCUUAAAAAGAGACUUUACGUGGCUUUGGAUUCACAAAGCGACGCCUCCCUGGCGACUCCAGAGUUUUUCCAACUGUUUGACAUAAAAACCCAGACGGUCGACUACACCAUGUCCACCUGUGUAGGGAAGAAGAAGUUGCAGGGUCGCAUAGCAUCCGGCUUUGUUGUCUCCUCUUGUGACCAGAAGAGACUGUUCGAGUUACCAGACCUCAUUGAGUGUUCCUCUAUUCCCCGGAACAAAAGGCAGAUUGUCACCAGAGAAGUCGUGGAAGCCCAUCCUCACUUGCGAAAGCUGAAGAACGCCUUACCUGCUUUCCGUCCAGAUGUGGACAUUGCCCUUCUGCUUGGUGCGGACUGUCCGAACUUGUUCUAUGUGAACGACCAAGUUAAGGGACCUCCAGGGGCGCCCAUUGCUCAGCUGCUACCACUAGGCUGGACAGUUACAGGCCCAGUGAGCAUAAAUAGGAUGCACCCUCCAUCGUCGGUGGGCACUCGUCAAGCGCACGUGCUUCAAGGCAGUCGCCCCACACUAAUGCAUAGCUGUUUGAGUCAUAUCUCGGUCUAUUGUCAGGGGAUAACACCAGAGUAUUCUUCCAUCUUUGAAGUCUCCAAAAGGGAUGAAACUACAGCGCUUUCCAAAGAUGAACAGAGGUUUUUAGAGAUCAUGAACUCUCAAGUUUCCCGGAGUCCCGAGGGAAAUUGGAUAGCCCCUCUGCCUUUUAAAGCAGAAAAACCCACUUUGCCAAACAACAGGCAUGUGGCAGAAAAUAGACUCUGGUCACUGAAGAAGAAGAUGCAGAAAGACCCCAAGGUGUAUGUGGCUAAUAGAAUCAACAACAUUCUAUCCAGUUCUACGCCUAGCCAGUGGCACCACGUCGCCACCAGCAACAACCCAGCUGACAUCGCUUCCAGAGGAGCUUCAACUCAACGAGUGUUAAGUUCAAGUUGGCUGACAGGCCCCAGAUGCUUGACCGAAGUCAAUUUUCCAUCAGCCUUUUCUCCCACCGAUAAUACAGAAUUGCCCGAGUCCGUUCCAGAGGUGAAAGCCUGCAAAUCAACCACAGAAAUCAAGAUGGGCCAAAGAUCUUGCCUGGAACCACACCGUUUUGAACGUUUUUCGGAGUGGCACAGUCUUCUUAGAGCAGUUGCUAGGCUUAUACAUCGUUUAGCUUGCAAAGAUAGUGAGCCUUUACAGGUCCAGGAUAUGAUAAAGGCUAAGAGCGUCAUAUUCAAGUCAGUACAGAGAUCUGCUUUCAAGCAGGAAAUAGCUAGGCUAGAGCAAGGGCUCAACAUCCCUAAUCAAAGUCUUCUAAAUGAGUUAAACCCAUUUCUAGACAAGGAGGGCAUUUUGAGAGUUGGAGGAAGGUUAGCCAAAGCUAAACUCAAGGCGUGCAUAAAAAACCCCAUCAUCAUACCCCCUAAUAGUCACACUGCAUUGCUGCUCGUUCGGCAUCACCAUGAAAGGAUCCAUCAUCAGGGUAGAACUCUAACUGAGGCAGCCCUUAGAAAUGAAAGUCUGUGGGUAGUUAAUGCCAAAAGGUUGGUCAACAGUUGUAUUUUCAAAUGUGUCAAAUGUCGGCGACUCAGACGAAACUGUCAAAGUCAGUUGAUGGCAGAACUACCUCAGGAUAGGACUUUGACAGACCCACCCUUUUCCCAUGUGGGAAUCGAUGUGUUUGGUCCUUGGGAGGUUGUCACUAGGAAAACCAGGGGUGGUGUUGUAAAUAACAAGAGGUGGGCAGUUUUGUUUACUUGUUUAGUAAUACGAGCUGUCCAUAUAGAAGUCAUAGAAGGGAUGGACACUUCAUCAUUUUUAAACGCAUUAAAAAGGUUCAUAGCCCUCAGAGGGCCAAUUAAGUCAAUUCGGUCGGACUGUGGCACCAAUUUUGUAGGUGCGACCAAAGAACUCAAUUGUGUGUCUAGGUUUGGGAGAGACCCAAAGGUUCAGAACUUUACGAAUACUGAACAAAUUAUGUGGACUUUCAAUGUUCCUCACGCCUCCCAUAUGGGUGGUGUUUGGGAGAGGAUGAUUGGUAUUAGUCGCAAAAUCCUUAAUGCCAUGUUUUUGAGUCAUAGGUCAUUGACGCAUGAUGUUUUGGUGACACUUAUGGCGGAAGUUACCGCAAUUAUCAACAACCGGCCGCUGGUUCCCCUUACCAGUGACCCUGAGAACUUACAACCACUGACUCCUGCACUUAUUUUGACACAAAAGGUGCCAGGAUGGAAGGACGUCAUGUUGCCAGUUCCGGACGGAACUCACCGUGCCCUGUGGAAACAGGUGCAGUCCUUGGCCAACCACUUUUGGAAAAGGUGGAAAGCUGAGUACUUAAGCCAGCUUCAAGCUAGAAGAAUCUGGCAAAGCCCACAGGACAACAUUGAGGUUAACAACGUUGUGUUGUUAAAGGACAAAGACUUGCCCCGCCAUGCAUGGCCCAUGGGCAUUGUAUUAAAGACCUUUCCUUGCCCGGACGGUAAGGUCAGGAAAGUUCAAUUAAAGACUUGCAACAGAGGCAAAGUGUCCAUUUUGGACAGACCAAUUAGUGACCUCGUGUUGCUUAUUGGAGAUGUUUAAAGUUCUAGUGUUUGUAUUGUUGUGUAUACAAAGGUGUUUGUAUGUUUUUGAUUGGUAAAUUCCCACAUCCUGGGAAUUUAGCGGGGAGUGUUCCGUCCCCCAGGACGAUGGUUUGCCUUACCUAUUGGUCGUUUGUUUGUUUUCCCUCCUUCACAUUUUGUUUGAGCCUCUGGCUGCAAUAGCCUAGGAAAAGUGGCUUGGAAUCUGCAAGAGCUGGCUGCAGUUUUCUUUGCAGUGAUUGGUCAAAGAAUGCAACAUCUUAGGACCGCCCUUUUUACCAGGGUCUAGUCUCCAUUUUGGAGCUUCAUUCUGGCUAUAGUCUUCCAACGUGCUGGAGCUGUGCAAGGCUAACUGGGACAAAUCAUCCUCAAAACCAGGCCAAUCUAAGCCUAUCCAAAUUAGAUAAGUAUUGAAUUAUACUGAUCUGGAAUAAGAAAUCUAGUUAGAGGAGCAGGGUUAUUCCAUCGCUUCUAGAACUAAUCUUUGCUGUAAAGAUAGGGAAGGAAAGAGUUUCUCCUUCUAAUAUAGGCAGCGUGAUUAGGGUAUAGUGGUUUUAUAAUCACCUUUGCUUUCUGGAACCAGGGAUAAUUCUGUACCUAAAACCUAUAGAAAUUUGUUUCAUUUUCUGCAACUUUAAGAUCUGUGCCAGGUUUACAACCUUGUAUGAAUAAACAUCCUUUUUUGAAGUUAUCCAGACUCAGUCGUUCAAUAUCUAUAGGACAGCUUAUAGGGAUUUGCAGUUCGCCCGGAUAAAGGACAGCACGUUUCAGUUUUAUAGCUUUUUAUUGUUCGGCGGACGGCACAUGGAGCAUACAUUUACCACUUGAAGCCCUGCAAUUUUCAGAAUGUUGUGCUCACCCACUGAUUUUUAGGAUGCUUUUGAAGUUUUUAUGAACAACUUUAAAAAAAUACAUGAGCUAUCCCCUCAAAUUUCUCUAAAUGACACAACAUAAACAGGGCAUCUUUUCCUCCAAGUUUCAGAAAGAUUUGCCCAUCCAGUAAUUUUUAAUUUUUUUUUUUAAAAAAAUUACAAAUAAAAACAACAAUAAGAAAAUAAUAAAACAAUAAAACAUGAACCCGCUCAAAUGAAUCCUAGCUGGACCCCCCCCCCCCCCCCCCCACACACACACACACAUAUAAAGAAAAUUAACCCUAAAGAAUCAGAAGCCUGACUGUGGGAAUCCUAAAAGGAAUCCCUUGGAAGAAAAGCCCUCGUGGUCGCUGUAUUGGAAACACCAGGAGCAACUCCUCCCUUUUCCUCAGCCCUGAUAGCAUGUGAUCUUGUGCUAUUCUAAUCUUUCCUGUUGUGACUUCCAUCAUGCGGGAAUCAACAUUCUAAAAAAGCUGAUUUCCUAUAUUUAUAAAGACUUUCCAUAUGUGGAAAGCCUACACUUAUGUAGGAGGCUAUCUUCUUCAAAUCAAUGCCACAAAAUGUAACAUGCAUGAAAUUUGUAAGUGAGCGUAUAUGUGGAGUAAUGCCCUCAUGCGUAGAGAACAGUAGAACCAGCAAGGAGAGACACGACAGGUUAGUACAUUCCUCCCCCAUGAUUGGGGAUUCUGGGAGUCCCCAUUUCCCAAGCUCUGAUAUUCAUAGUGAGGUUUGGGAUGGAUCUAAGGGAUUUUGGUUAUUAUUAUUUCUCCUUCAGAAUUAACUGUUCUAAUGCAUAUUUUAUUUCAAAGCUCAGUUUGCUUAACUUAUCCUUUUUCCUAACGGGAUGGACUGAGAUGAAAAUUUAUUCAUAAUGAUCAGAGUUCAUUAAUAAGUGACUUUUCUUGAAGUUGAGCCUACACACAUUCUCUAAUAAUUAGAAAAGGAGGAGGCCAAAAUGUAUAUUCUUACAAUAUUUUUAUUAUUAAAUAAAUACAAUUUUCUAACAAGUAGCCCUCCCUCUCAUCUUGCAUAUUUUUAUAAUAUUUUUAUUGAAUAUGUCAAUAUUUCUUCACAUAAGAGGAGAACAUGGAACAGUUGGGUGAAAAGGAAAAAAGAAGGAUGGGUAAUGGAGUUAUUUUUACAAAUAUCUAGUAUGUUGCUGGGAAAGAGAGAUGGGGUUGAGGGGAUGGACAUUGUACUAAUUAAAAUUGUUACAUCUAAUUGUUCAUAUCAAAAAUAUUACAAAUUUCACAUAUCCUCUAUAACAAAAAGAGAAAUUAUUUUUGUCAUCUAAUUUUAAACCAAAUAGUUAUAUCUUCUUAUAUGUUCUGGUUUAUUCCAUGUUCUUCUUGUCUUCUCCUCCAGAUCUUCUUCAUUAAAAGUUAAUUUUGUUUGUUCUUAUUUAGAUUAUUUCGUUGAACUCUUUGAACUUUAUUCAUCAAAUUUUAAUUAUUUUAAGUAAUCUAAAUAUUUAAUUUAAUAUGUUAGUAAAUUAGCAUAGUGUAGACAAAAUUUACUAUGUAUCACUAUCAUCCUGCCCUCGCUCCCCCCCCCCCCCAUGAUCCAAAUCUAAUUAUGGGGUACAAACCUCCCUAUUAUCCAGAGAUUCUUAAGUGAGAAUGCACUAAGUAUCCUACUCCACCACUUUUGUCCCAAUAGGUUCUUUGCACUGUUCUCUACUACCUGAAAUGAUUUCCUAAAAACUGUUUAUAGGAACCUUCCCCAAGUAGAAUACUUCUGUUAUUGGAAGGCAAAUCCAACCCACUGCUUAUCAUGACCCUUGACUAGCACUGUACAAAGGUUUACAUAGGACGCAAUGGUAUGUGAGCAAUUUUAUAAAACGGUAUAAUAGGUUUCCUAAGAAUUCUUAGGACACUGAAUGUCCUGAGAGUAACUUCUAAGUAGAAACAGGCUGAAUUCACAUAAAGGCUAUAUUCCAGCUCCAGUGAACCCUAUCCUGCCCCUGUUUGACCCCAUUAAUGCCUCACCCAUCCAUUAUCUCCCUUAUUUCUUGCUCAUCCUUUCCAGGUUUGAAGCUUUUCAUUUCCAAAAGAAGAUGAAUGAAAUCUUAUAGCCUCUGCCUUGUGUCUAUGCAUGUCAUAAUAUGUGACUGCCCAUCUGGGAGAGAACACACUGAAUAUGCAUCUUCAAAUGCAUGCACACACUUAAAAAUCCCAGUAGCUGCAUACAGAAUAUCCUGCUUGAGCCCUUAUUAAGCCCAGAACUAUCAAUGCCAAUGCUGCUAGUACAGCAAUGGAGAGUUCUGGCUGUUAGUAUAACAGAAGAGGCUCUCUCCUUCUCCCCUCCCUAUAUCCUAUCCACUCUGCCCACCCCAGAGAUACUCCCUCCCAUACACUCCCUCCCUCCCAUACACACACCCAAGUGAUUUCCUGCCAGCAAACAAAAACGUGACUAAUUACUAAGCCUGAUUUCACUAUUAAAAAUGACAGAGGGCAGCAGUCCCUGUGCCUCUAACCAUCUCAAAUGUGGAGGAACAACUGCAGUUAAUAAAAUUUAAUAAGAUAAUCAAUAUUUAAAAGAGUGUAACACAAACAUUCCAGGUAGAAUAGUUUCAGAUAUUUGUAUAUUCAACGUGAACAUCCACAUACCUACACUGAAUGUAAAAAGAAAAACACAACAAAAAUCAUAGAAGCACCACAAGGUACAAGGGUACAAGACACAUAUCACACAUUUCCAGGGUACAAGACACAGAUCACACACAAAAAAAAUGUGUGUGUGUUUUGCUUGAAAUUACAGAUUCAAAUGGGUGUUUUAAAAUUGCAUUAAAGUCCUCAAGCUAAUAGCCCCGUAACUUUGAAACCAGAAGAAUAUUGUGUAUUCAGACAACAGUGGGAAUGAGGAAAUAACAAAUUAUUUUGCUGGUGUGGAUUCCAGUUAUAAAUAGGAUUAAGUUGAAACCAUUAUCUGCUCUCAUAAUAUCAGACUUCUGCAUCAGAGAAAGAAAAUGUGUAUUUUAGCUCCUUAUAUUGUAAAGAUAACAGAAAUUCGGUCUUAGUACAUAUAUUUGUGUGAAAUGAAAAUACUGUCUGUAAUGUCUCCUUUCUCAUGUUGCAGGACAAUUCUACAUCUCAGCAAGUGUACUGGCAAGGUUAUUUUGCCCUUUAUACUCAGCUUUUUCUGAUAAAAAAAUAUUCAUACUCUCCCACAUAGCGCAGAAGCAGAAGUGGGGGACACUAUCUUAUGUUUGUCAGAUUGUGUUCACUGCAAAAGAACUGUCUCUUUUCAGCACUCUCAAAAUUAAGGCUAUAGGCAUGAAGACAAAACUGAAAAAGGAAGGAAGAAAGGAAAGAAAGAAGGAAAGAAGGAAGGAAAUAACAUAAAUUAUCUGUUUUACAUUGUAGUUCCCCAAAUCCUCCAGCCUAUAUUUCUAGCCAAAUUAUUAUACAUACAUCCUGUCUUUCUCUCAGUUUUGUAUUCAAGGUGCCUUACAAAAGUGAAAACAAAUAUCCAGAAUCCUUUAAGAUCUAGCAUUAAGUAUACUUUACCAGGUAACCUCUCCUGAAUGGUCCAUAUCCCUCA